UUUUUGGAGAGUUUGAUCCUGGCUCAGGACGAACGCUGGCGGCGUGCCUAAUACAUGCAAGUCGAGCGGAGUAAGGUGAAACUUGUUUCACCUAGC
rnacentral:ncRNA from 1 species